CCUCUUCUGUUUCUUUCUUUUCGACCCCCAACGCGACUGUCUUCUUUUCCUUUUCUCCUUAUUACUCUUCUCUAUUCCUUUUUCUUUCACCCUCAUCGCCGUUUCCUUUGAGCACGCCCAGAACACCCGAAGGUUUGCUUCCCGAUUCCGUGUCUACAACGCACUCCCACGUUGGCUUUUCACCAGCGCGCGAUGCUACGCAAGCAAGGUGCGGUUCCAUGUCUCGCGAUGGCCCCGACCUCUUCAUAUCUUCAGGCCGUGAAGUCCGACGAGCUGAGAGAUUUGCUGAGGCUUCUUCUCAGACGCAGAUCACCUGUGACGACGUCUUCGGCUGUUCUUGGCCAAAGACGGACUGCGAGGGAUUGAUUGCUAUUUGUCAUAGUGGCCGGGGAGGCUUUCAUAUUGAUAUGACAGGAUAGCAAAUUUCUCAAGAGGCAGAUGUGCCUAUUAGCUUGCAUCACAAUGCGACUUUGUCUGGAAGGUAGGACCAUUUGUUGCGCAAAAUACAUGGACUUGUGAAUUCUGACCAGGGUAAAUAGGAGAGAUGUCUUACUCUCAAAUCUAUUGAGACCCCGGAAGGUCUUACCUUGGAUGGAUUGGUUCUUUGCCAUGAACUAACAUCACAAAGUAUGAGGAAAGAACAAAAAGAGAGAGCAUUGAGGUGCUUGGGGAGUGUUUGAGCAUGUAUGUGUGUACAUGAGUGAAGAGUAAAGAAGUGAGUAACUUUUAGCUAAAUCUUCACAGUGCCAUGCUAACAUCUUCUCUGUUUGCUAUUCAUGCUUUGAGAUUGUAAAGAAUUUCGGUCCUCGUUUAAUCAGUGGUAAACUGUCAUUGUCCGUCCUUGCACAUGAGUCCUAUAUUAAACUAAAUCAAUACUGAAGUGUGUUUGCCAAAUUUGAGUGCAACCGUGUUGAUUCUGCUGUUCAUAUGCUUAUUGUUGGAUCGAACUUGUUAUACUCUUCUUGUUGGAUUAGACUUGUCAUCCUUUUCUGCUAGUGCUUACAAUGUUUUGUUUACUGGACAUGUCUCCCUUGUGAAUGAGCAAUGGAGUCUGCUGAAAUCUGCUGAAUAUGCUGCCAAGAGCUUGUCUCUCAAAAUAGAAGCUCAGAGAAGCUCGCCGUCUGCACUUGACAAGGUCUCAAGACCUUGCGUCAAGAUCCUUUCAUCAUCUACAAUUACUUUGUCGACAAUGACGAAAUCAGAAGGUCAUCUCAAGAUCUAGGGAUGCUUCCUCCAUCUGCCCGUCCAUUGAGAUCGAGGUGAUAUCUCAAAGGCCAUGGCUAUGGCUAGAUUAGGUCACCAAUUGUGGUGCCGAGACCUUACAGAGAUUUGGCGGCGAGAGAAGAGAUAGAGUAAGGGAGAGAGUAUUUUCGUUUUGUAAAUAGAGAAAGCAAAGAUAGUUGUGGAUGACAUGACAGAGAUAGCAGCGAGAUGUGGAGGACUAACGGUGAUUACCGGUGGCCACAAUGGCCAAAGACGGUAGCUAAUGGUGAAGAGAGGGUUGGUUGAGUAGGAAGACUUGACGAAGAUUAUUAGACAGUGUGAUGAGUACGCUGAUAAGUGCAAAAAUUAUACGUCCAUGUUUCCUUUUUGAUUUUGUCCCCUUUUUGUGUUGGUUAACUUUGUAUCUCCGUUAAAUGACAUGGCAAUGAAUAAA